CUGUGGCACUACUAUAGUCACUACCCUCCUCAACGGUUAGGACACACACAAGGAACGGGACCCGGCUGGCGCUGGUUAUUUAUCUGGUCUGCGUCUUGGAGGUGCUGCUUUUAUCGUUCUUAGGCCAGCUGUCGCCUCUCAUGCCAGCACCACUAUGACUGUUCAUGCCACAAGCACCUUGGUGGCCUGAUGUUGCAGGAAUUUGUGCCACCACAUCACCAGCAAAUUAUCAAGGGCCAUCAUUUUCACUGCAUCCUCCACUGCCAAUUCUGGACGGUUCAGCGUUCAGUCCAGCAGCAUGGAACAGUGACAGGUGAUCAAGCAGCUCAUAAGCACACCCAUAUCUUCGUUUCAC